GAAAUGAUAUUUAUGGUGAGUUUGGAUCCCAAACUCAUUUCAGCUCAUCUCAACUCAUCAUUACAACUUUUUCAAAUCUCAACAUAAAAUAUAAUAAACAAUUCGACUUUUUAAAAUUUUAAAAUAAUAAUAAUAUUAAAAAAUAAUAUUCUA